ACACGACUACAUUAGUACCCGCGUAGUCCUAGCCGUAAACGAUACUCGCUAGGUGUCGGCCACGGUGCGACCGUUGUCGGUGCCGAAGGGAAACCGUGAAACGUGCCGCCUGGGAAGUACGGUCGCAAGGCUGAAACUUAAAGGAAUUGGCGGGGAGCACCACAACGGGUGGAGCCUGCGGUUUAAUUGGACUCAACGCCGGAAAUCUCACCGGAUAGGACAGACAUAUGAUAGUCGGGCUGAAGACUCUACUUGAUGAUCUG
rnacentral:rRNA from 1 species